AACGAACGCUGGCGGCAUGCCUAACACAUGCAAGUCGAACGAAGCCUUCGGGCUUAGUGGCGCACGGGUGCGUAACGCGUGGGAAUCUGCCCUUGGGUUCGGAAUAACAGUUAGAAAUGACUGCUAAUACCGAAUGAUGUCUUCGGACCAAAGAUUUAUCGCCCAAGGAUGAGCCCGCGUCGGAUUAGCUAGUUGGUGAGGUAAAGGCUCACCAAGGCGACGAUCCGUAGCUGGUUUGAGAGGAUGAUCAGCCACACUGGGACUGAGACACGGCCCAGACUCCUACGGGAGGCAGCAGUGGGGAAUAUUGGACAAUGGGCGAAAGCCUGAUCCAGCAAUGCCGCGUGAGUGAUGAAGGCCUUAGGGUUGUAAAGCUCUUUUACCCGGGAUGAUAAUGACAGUACCGGGAGAAUAAGCCCCCGGCUAACUCCGUGCCAGCAGCCGCGGUAAU
rnacentral:rRNA from 1 species